rnacentral:rRNA from 1 species
CCUACGGUAGGCUGCAGUGAGGAAUAUUGGUCAAUGGACGAGAGUCUGAACCAGCCAAGUAGCGUGAAGGAUGACUGCCCUAUGGGUUGUAAACUUCUUUUAUAAAGGAAUAAAACGAGGCACGUGUGCCUUUUUGCAUGUACUUUAUGAAUAAGGAUCGGCUAACUCCGUGCCAGCAGCCGCGGUAAUACGGAGGAUCCGAGCGUUAUCCGGAUUUAUUGGGUUUAAAGGGAGCGUAGAUGGGUUGUUACGUCAGUUGUGAAAGUUUGCGGCUCAACCGUAAAAUUGCAAUUGAUACUGGCAGUCUUGAGUACAGUUGAGGUAGGCGGAAUGCGUGGUGUAGCGGUGAAAUGCUUAGAUAUCACGAAGAACCCCGAUUGCGGAGGCAGCUUACUAAACUGUGACUGACAUUGAUGCUCGAAAGUGUGGGUAUCAAACAGGAUUAGAUACCCGUGUAGUC